rnacentral:rRNA from 1 species
GUCGACGAGAGAUGAGGAGCUUGCUCUUCAAAUCGAGUGGCGAACGGGUGAGUAACGCGUGAGGAACCUGCCUCAAAGAGGGGGACAACAGUUGGAAACGACUGCUAAUACCGCAUAAGCCCACGGCUCGGCAUCGAGCAGAGGGAAAAGGAGUAAUCCGCUUUGAGAUGGCCUCGCGUCCGAUUAGCUAGUUGGUGAGGUAAUGGCCCACCAAGGCGACGAUCGGUAGCCGGACUGAGAGGUUGAACGGCCACAUUGGGACUGAGACACGGCCCAGACUCCUACGGGAGGCAGCAGUGGGGAAUAUUGCACAAUGGGGGAAACCCUGAUGCAGCGACGCCGCGUGGAGGAAGAAGGUCUUCGGAUUGUAAACUCCUGUUGUUGAGGAAGAUAAUGACGGUACUCAACAAGGAAGUGACGGCUAACUACGUGCCAGCAGCCGCGGUAAAACGUAGGUCACAAGCGUUGUCCGGAAUUACUGGGUGUAAAGGGAGCGCAGGCGGGAGAACAAGUUGGAAGUGAAAUCCAUGGGCUCAACCCAUGAACUGCUUUCAAAACUGUUUUUCUUGAGUAGUGCAGAGGUAGGCGGAAUUCCCGGUGUAGCGGUGGAAUGCGUAGAUAUCGGGAGGAACACCAGUGGCGAAGGCGGCCUACUGGGCACCAACUGACGCUGAGGCUCGAAAGUGUGGGUAGCAAACAGGAUUAGAUA